rnacentral:sRNA from 1 species
GCCUCGCCCCAAGGCGAAACAUAACCUAUAGGUGGAUGUACUGGUAGACCGGCAUAGCCGGGCCGAAGGUAAUAAGCCAAGAGAAAAGCAGA